GGAGGGGCCUGCGUCCGAUUAGGUAGUUGGUGAGGUAAUGGCUCACCAAGCCGAUGAUCGGUAGCUGGUCUGAAGGACGAUCAGCCACACGGGACUGAGAUACGGUCCCGACUCCUACGGGGGGCAGCAGUGAGGAAUAUUGGGCAAUGGACGCAAGUCUGACCCAGCAACGCCGCGUGGAGGAUGAAGGUUCUUGGAUCGUAAACUCCUUUUGCAGGGGAUGGUACCCUGAGAAUAAGUCACGCUAACUACGUGCCAGCAGCCGCGGUAAUACGUAUGACAAGCGUUAUCCGGAUUUAUUGGGCGUAAGCGCACGCAGCGGCAGCUCAAGUCUGACGUGAAUCUCUCGGCUUAACCGGGAGCGUCGUUGGAAACUGAGUGCUUGAGGCGAUGAGAGGGUGUGGAAUCCCGGUGUAGUGUGGAAUGCGUAGAUAUCGGAAGGAACACCAGUGGAUCACAGUGAAUUCGC
rnacentral:rRNA from 1 species